CAGUAGCCACGGGAAUACAGAGGGUGCGAGCGUUAAUCGGAUUUACUGGGCGUAAAGCGUGCGUAGGCGGCUUCUUAAGUCGGAUGUGAAAUCCCUGAGCUUAACUUAGGAAUUGCAUUCGAUACUGGGAAGCUAGAGUAUGGGAGAGGAUGGUAGAAUUCCAGGUGUAGCGGUGAAAUGCGUAGAGAUCUGGAGGAAUACCGAUGGCGAAGGCAGCCAUCUGGCCUAAUACUGACUCUGAGGUACGAAAGCAUGGGGAGCAAACAGGAUUAGAUACCCGGGUAGUCCCUGUCUCUUAUAC
rnacentral:rRNA from 1 species